CCUACGGGCGGCAGCAGUGGGGAAUAUUGCACAAUGGGGGAAACCCUGAUGCAGCAACGCCGCGUGAGUGAAGAAGUAUUUCGGUAUGUAAAGCCCUAUCAGCAGGGAAGCAGAUGACGGUACCUGAGUAAGAAGCCCAGGCUAACUACGGGCCAGCAGCCGCGGUAAUACGGAGGGGGCAAGCGUUAUCCGGAUUUACUGGGUGUAAAGGGAGCGUAGACGGUGUGACAAGGCAGAAGUGAAAGCCCGGGGCUCAACCCCGAGACUGCAUUGGAAACUGCCUGACUGGAGUGCUGGAGAGGCAAGCGGAAUUCGUGGUGUAGCGGUGAAAUGCGUAGAUAUUAGGAAGAACACCAGUGGCGAAGGCAGCUUGCUAGACAGUAACUGACAUUGAGGCUCGAAAGCGUGGGGAGCAAACAGGAUUAGAUACCCCUGUAGUC
rnacentral:rRNA from 1 species